UUCUUUGACGACUGGCGGAUUUAACAUGGAUCGGCAAUUAGCCAUAGCUUGAAAACAAAACACGUUUAUCUGGACAGUGCGUCUCGAGAUUGUAAGACAAAUGUUGGCAAAUCGAUAAGCUAAUCGAGAAGAAUGGCAGUCUGUUAGUGCUGAACUGCACUGUCUAUAAGGUCACCCGCAUACGCCCUGCCAAAUGUGACAAAUCCCCAUCAAGGCUGGAACCAAAGGCUAGGCUCCCCUCCCCGCCUCCCCCUUAGAGCCUGGAGGCAGCAGUACAGAAAAAGCGAAAACAAAGCGAAACUUUAACGCUUAUAAAAGCGUUUUUUUUGGGCCUUAUAAUUAAAUGCAAUAAUUGCGUUGCCAGCGGGCUGCUUAGCCAGUUCGGUUUGGCUCGGGCUUGGGCCCGGGCCCGGGCCGGGCCAACACAAAAGCAGAACAACAGCGAAACAACUGGAAAACAUAUCAACAACAGCCGCCACCACGCUGGAUCCCCGAAGAGGCAAACCGAAAGAAUUUUGCAGGCAAAAGAGUAACGACUUGUUGACUGUUUUCAUACAAUUCGGAAAGUUAAUUAAAGGCGGCCCCAAAGCAGACAAUGAGAUCCCCUACCCUUGGACUAUCCUUGGACCCCCGAACGCCCCUUGGACCCUUCUGGCAGUGAGGGGCAGGUGCAGCCAGCAUCCACUCAACUUUGUAUGCAAAACUCAAACAAAACUUGACCCUCUCUGAUCGCUGCGGCGACUGGCGGACGAAUACA
rnacentral:sRNA from 1 species